UGUGUGUGUAUAUGUGUGUGCACAUGCAUGUGUGUAUGUACGUACAUGCAUAU
rnacentral:miRNA from 1 species